rnacentral:rRNA from 1 species
UACGGAGGGUGCGAGCGUUGUCCGGAAUCACUGGGCGUAAAGGGCGCGUAGGCGGCCUGAUAAGUAGGGGGUGAAAUCCUGCGGCUUAACCGCAGGGCUGCCUUCUAAACUGUCAGGCUAGAGCACGGUAGAGGCAGAUGGAAUUCCCGGUGUAGCGGUGGAAUGCGUAGAUAUCUGGAGGAACACCGGUGGCGAAGGCGGCAUCCUGGACCAAUAUUGACGCUGAGGUGCGAAAGCGUGGGGAGCAAACAGG